AGAGUACAUUAAAAUUGUAGUGUAAGUGCAGUGCUUGAGUAAAUGUGCUUAGUUAGUUUCCCUCCCACUGGUUUUAUCCUUUGGCUCUGCUGUACAAACUCUUCUCUCAGGUGAUUUCCUGCUUGUCUGUGUGGUUAACUUCAUAUCAGACAGCUUGUUCCCCCUGUCAGGGCAGAGGAACAGGCCAAAGAGUGAAAUUACAGCCCCUCGUGACCUACAGCAUGACCAGCUGGCUCAACCUGGGAACAGUAGGUGGCUCAGUGCUUCUCUGCUGUGAGUUUCACAAAGGUCACAAGUGGAAAUCCAAACUGCUUCUCGCACAAGACGGUUUCAGCAUGUGAGCAUUGUGUUGGCAGCUCCGACUCAAUGUACAGUUCACUGCUUCCUGAUGAUGGGGGACGCUGGGCCUGAGUCUCAUCUCCACAAUUAGUACGUGCUGUUUUGCAGACCGACUCACAGGACAAAUCCUCACCAACCCGCACGAUACCAGCAAGGACCACCAGAGGGAGCCAGUGCUGUGUUUCUCCUGGUCAAAAGUGACUCCACUGGUUCAGUCUUCUACCUCAGUCAUGCAGCUGAGCAGCGGUUCACGGACUUGAGGACAAACAUCUGACGUCACACAGCUGUGGUUCCCUGACGACCAACAGUACAGCAGCGACGGGGAAAUGAGGGACAACAUGCAACAAGGUCCCUUGUUUAUAAUAACAGA